rnacentral:lncRNA from 1 species
AUCUCCUCAAACAUCACCAACACAGACACACAGAGCAUUUUAACCCAGAUGGACAGUUCUCGGGGCUAGCUGGGUUAUCAGCCCAUUUUCAUUUUUUUUUUAAGCUUCAAAUAGAAACACGCUUGCCCAAGCCCCUCCCGAAGCAGGGACCUCUUUCAGUUUAACCACAGCUUUGAAACCCAUUAAUGUUAAAAACCUGUAAUCUCUGCAAAGAGAUUCUUUCCCUAUCUUUGGGUUUAAAACACAGUAAAUGAAGUGUGAAUUCUAAUUCAGUCCUUGGCUUUCAUAUAUCUGAACAAAUCACUUAAAUGAUGUGUAGUUUAACGGGACCAAGAGGCUUAACUAAAUCACAUGAGGAGAGUGUAAGAGAUCCAUGUUGGAAGACGAGAGUAAUAACCUUGCAAAGAUAAGUAUCGCAAGCAUGGAAAGGGCAAGGAAAAAUUAAUGGAGUUUUAAGGUCAAAGAUAUAUUGAGGGGUGUAAAACUGUCAGGUCGUCUCAUGGGAAUCUGUUCUAAAACAAAAUCCCGUGACCGUGGCACCCUCCAAGGUGUUGUUGUGUUUUCUAGACUGUCAAAGUGGGCAGCCGGUGGAUGGUGUCCAUCUCUGCUGCAUGAGAGCUAAGAAGGCCAUCAGGCAGGACGGUUUUCAUUGUGCUGCUGCUCCGUUCUGCCACUAGAGGGAGCACGUGGCACACAACAUAAGUGUAGCUAAGGCGGGAAGAGAAGGCAGGAAGAGGCAGAGAUUGCCAUAACCUUACACUCAGUUAAAGCCUGCAGUGACUGUAAGGGGGAAUUUGAGAUGCACAGUGCUCAAACAAUCCCACUGAACACACUUCCCAUACGCUGGCGUCACCCUGCAUGCUGGACAGACUUCUCAGUUAUCCCCUAUUUUCCACUGAAGAGCUGCCAUGGCAUUACAGAAGGAAGACAGAAGGAAAGAGCCCCUGAUCUGAGAUAACAAGUGACCCCAUAAAACUGAAGGGAAAUCAGCUGAACCUACCACAAAGCACGGGGAACAGCCCUAAAUCCUGCUCAGUUCUGAAUACAAAGGCUCCAGUCUACUGUUUUGAAAGAAUCCCACAGCCAAUAAACAAAAAGUGAUUUUCUAUUGAUCUACGGGU